rnacentral:rRNA from 1 species
AACGAACGCUGGCGGCAGGCUUAACACAUGCAAGUCGAACGCCCGUAGCAAUACGGGAGUGGCGGACGGGUGAGUAACGCGUGGGAACGUACCCUGAGGUACGGAAUAACCGAGGGAAACUUCGGCUAAUACCGUAUGAGCCCCGCAAGGGGGAAAGAUUUAUCGCCUUGGAGCGGCCCGCGUCGGAUUAGCUAGUUGGUGGGGUAACGGCCUACCAAGGCUUCGAUCCGUAGCUGGUCUGAGAGGACGAUCAGCCACACUGGGACUGAGACACGGCCCAGACUCCUACGGGAGGCAGCAGUGGGGAAUCUUGCGCAAUGGGGGCAACCCUGACGCAGCCAUGCCGCGUGAACGAUGAAGGCCUUAGGGUUGUAAAGUUCUUUUACCCGUGACGAUGAUGACGGUAACGGGGGAAUAAGCUCCGGCUAACUUCGUGCCAGCAGCCGCGGUAAAGUCACGUCG